AAAAAAUGUUUUUCCUCUUCCUGUAUAAUCCCGGGAAUAUGGCUCGGGAGUCUCUACCAGGCAGCCGUAAACUGUCUGACUACAGGAAGAGGGGUGUGGGAU
rnacentral:ncRNA from 2 species